UCGGUGAAAUGUGAAAGCGCCCAACAGUAUUAACUGGUAUUAACAAAUGAAGAAAGACCAAAGCUGGUCAUGUAACCGACGGUGGUACCGACCGGGUUUCAUAGGCGUUUCCUCUGGGGUUUUUGCAAUAUACUGCAGAUGAAUUUCGCUUGUUUCGAUGCGAAAAUCGAGUUGAAAAAGCUCCUUAAUUGCAGCUUUAUUUGGGUAUUUGAUUUGGAAAUCGAAUUGAAAUGCACUGUGUUAGAGGGUGCGUAAAUAAUUGCAUUUGCAGGGCGAUUUUUUCGGGGGAGAAUAUGGAGGAACAAGGCAAAAGCUAGAACUUGCACUGGUGAGACAGAGAGCAGAGAUCAUAAGGCGCACACUAUUCCGCUUUUUCGCUCACGCAUGUUUUAUAGCUUUGGCCUUGUUCCACACAGGUAUAAUCAUUUUCCGGUUUUAAUUGGAAAAUUGUUGACGUUUUUAAAUUGGAAUUUGAAUUCAUUGUUGCGUAUUUUUCCCUUGCCAAUAAUUUGCAGUUUUCUCCGCACCUUUUGGGUUUUUUCAGUCUAUUUGUACUCUAAAUGAGUGACUAAUGAUCAACUACCCCAUUUUGAAUAAGCAAUUUUAAAUAAUUUACGCUUUAAAUGGGUAAACUGCGGCACUGUGUCGCACCUAAACGGUUCCGGCUAUAUCAAAGCACUGGCGAGCGUUUAAAAAAAUUCUUGGUGGUACUCUUAUAAUAUAGAAACGGCGUUGCGAGUGGAAAUUUCACUCGUUUGCUCCGAUGCAUUUGCUUGUUUCCGCAAAUUGGUACUAAACAAUUGGUCAAUAUUAUUGAUUGAUUUCACCCGCAGUUUAUUUGUUUCGAAUCGACCCGGUGAACAUGAGCAAGGUGCUUGUCUACAUUCUGGAUAAAGCCGUCUGGCUGCUUCUGGUCACUGUGAUAACAGGCCAGGCGCUUCAGAUCACCGGCUUUAUGGAAACGCCUAAAAGUGCAGGAGCGUUCGAAUAUCAACAAAACCCUUUGGAAAGCCUUUCUGAGCACCCGAAAGAUGCUCUGAGGUGGAAAAGGGAGGCGGACGACACAACCGAGCGUUCGCAAUUCAUUGACAUGCUCUUCAAUGUAAGUAUUCACAUUUUGGCACAGAUAGACAGUAUGUUAAGGGGCCGGUGGCAUCAAAAUUGGCAGCCGAUUAAACCACCGCAUGGCUAUUUUUGCUGAUCAGUCACUUUCGGGAUGGUUUUAGAUCCCCAUCAAAACUCUAACUGCUGUUAAAAACCUGAUCCAGAACUCCCGGCCAGCUCUUCGUAAAUUGCGCGACUUUGCGGUGAAACGUUUCGAAAAAACCACCAAAGCGCCUGAAGCUGAUCAGAGCACUGUUCAGAAACGCUCGCCUGUGUUCAUCAGGGAAGUGAGCAAUAAACAGUAACUGCAAGCAUUUAUGUGUGCGUGGAACAAGGCAAAAGCUCAAAGUGAGCGUGAGGAACAGAGAGACGCUAGGCGACUGAUUGUGUCUCAUCUCGAUCCGCGCUAGUACUGCUUUUGCCUGCUCUCACACAUUGCUGAUUCAAUCCAUGCCAUGUACGGAGUAAGACUGGAAUUUUUUACUAGAUUUUUAUUAUUAGAAGUUUAAUUUUGAAGUAUUACUAGCAUUAAACGUUGUAAAUAAUAAACAUAAAUAUAUUUGUUGA